rnacentral:misc_RNA from 1 species
AAUUCCCAGUCAGCUCAAGAUAGACAAAGUAAACAAAUCAGACUGUGUACGCCUGACGGUGGAGGGAGACGUAUUUGUAUAGCUACACGAAUAAACUAUCACAGAUGAUCAACAAUGACCAAGAAAAGACGAAGAGCAGUGGGUUAUAUAAGUGUAAAGAAUGUUGCAAAGACUUUCAAACCGAUCUUGCACUAUUCCAACAUCUGACUGCGAGAAACAAGCGAUGCGGGAACAGUGCUUGCUUUUAUUGCGACUACGGUGAGAGCGUUCCCGGUGGCUUGUCAGAUCACAUCAAGACACGACAUUCUGUUUUCGAAUGUGCAUUUUGUUCUAAGAAAUUCUUCUUGAGAACUCAUUUUGAGGUACACAUGAAACACGAAGAAGGCAUAGUGAAUUCAUGGAGGGAUGAUCCUUUGCCUGGAAUGGACGACACAGAAUCAUUCAGCGAAUUGAUAGAACGCCUGAACCCGGAUGCAAUUGUUUACGAAGAGUGUCAGAGAAUUAAGGAAAAGUUGGAAUGGUUCAUGCACCACAACACAUCUUACAAGAAAUGCCACAUCACCAUGGCAGGAUCAAUAGCCAAACAAACUCCAUUAAGAAAGGCAGAUGUCGACCUGAUUCUCUUCUUGCACGACUUCAAAACCAUGACGACAUUUAUAGAAAGCAAAAAGGAGAUCAUAGAACGAAUCAAACGCCAUGUCGAAAAUCGGGACAUGAAUUGGGCCCAUGGCCUGAGGUUUCAAAAGCGCACACAAAACUCAAUACAGUUUGAGCUGAGUGUUAGUGGCAGUAGCACGUCGAUGGAUGUGGAUCUACUACCAGCUGUGCAACUGUUGCGCCGUAACAGUUCUUCUGAGAGGGAUGCAUUGUACACAAAUAUGAAAUCCAUGUCAGCAAAGGAGAGGAAACAUUGUGGGCCGUGCCUGUCUGAGCUGCAGGUCGAGUUUGUGCAUAACGUACCAAACACGUUGAAAGACGUCAUAAGGAUAAUCAAAUAUUGGAUCAAGAUUGUACGCAAGGAUGAGAGGUGUACAACAGUCCGGUGUUACUUCUGUGAGUUAGUGGUCAUUGACUAUUGGAUGAAAAACGACUCACCUGACGACCCCGAGAUCGACAUUGAUGACUACGUUAUACAAGUCUUAUACCGCCUCUGUUUCUGUCAGAGUCUUCGGAUCAUUUGGCCUGAAACUUACGACUUCCUCAAAUACAGAAGUGAAGAAGCCGAGCCUAUAGUUCUGGAUCCUGCAAAUCCCUUUGUGAAUGUUGCGCCCAACAUGAAGGAUGCUUUACGAGUGAGUCAGUGCGCCAUUGAGCUGUUUGAAAGAUAUGGAACUGUCAAACCUAAACACUUGUCUUCUAGACAAUUGACAUACCGAAGUCCAGCCUAUAUCUGCCCUUCUGUGACCUUACAACGACCUGCUGCCGUGGCGAUAGACAUGUGGGAUUCCUGCCCUGAUGAUGUUUCUACAGGUACUGGGGUCAUGUCAUCGGUGAAUGCCCAAAUGCAUUCGAGCAACCCUAGCUCGAAAAGACCAGCAAAAUCCCUCUUGUCUUCUAGACAAUUGGCAUACCGAAGUCCAGCCUAUAUCUGCCCUUCUGUGACCUUACAACGACCUGCUGCCGUGGCGAUAGACAUGUGGGAUUCCUGCCCUGAUGAUGUUUCUACAGGUACUGGGGUCAUGUCAUCGGUGAAUGCCCAAAUGCAUUCGAGCAACCCUAGCUCGAAAAGACCAGCAAAAUCCCUCUUGUCUUCUAGACAAUUGGCAUACCGAAGUCCAGCCUAUAUCCGCCCUUCUGUGACCUUACAACGACCUGCUGCCGUGGCGAUAGACAUGUGGGAUUCCUGCCCUGAUGAUGUUUCUACAGGUACUGGGGUCGUGUCAUCGGUGAAUGCCCAAAUGCAUUCGAGCAACCCUAACUCGAAAAGACCAGCAAAAUCCCUCUUGUCUUCUAGACAAUUGGCAUACCGAAGUCCAGCCUAUAUCUGCCCUUCUGUGACCUUACAACGACCUGCUGCCGUGGCGAUAGACAUGUGGGAUUCCUGCCCUGAUGAUGUUUCUACAGGUACUGGGGUCAUGUCAUCGGUGAAUGCCCAAAUGCAUUCGAGCAACCCUAACUCGAAAAGACCAGCAAAAUCCCUCUUGUCUUCUAGACAAUUGGCAUACCGAAGUCCAGCCUAUAUCUGCCCUUCUGUGACCUUACAACGACCUGCUGCCGUGGCGAUAGACAUAUGGGAUUCCUGCCCUGAUGAUGUUUCUACAGGUACUGGGGUCGUGUCAUCGGUGAAUGCCCAAAUGCAUUCGAGCAACCCUAGCUCGAAAAGACCAGCAAAAUCCCUCUGUGUCUGGAGAUGCAAGUUGCUGCUGGGGUUGCUGCUGGUGUCCCUGCUGGUACUAGUUUUAGGAAUCAUACUAUGGAGUGUGAGAUCCUAAAUUCCAUCGGUCAAAGAUGAAGAAAAGGACCACAGAUGUCAACUUUUAAUCAAAGAUGAAGAAAGGGACCACAGAUGUUAACUUUCAAUCAAAGAUGAAGAAGGGUCCAUAGAUGUUAACUUUCAAUCAAAGAUGAAGAAAGGGACCACAGAUGUUAACUUUCAGUCAAAGAUGAAGAAAGGGACCACAGAUGUUAACUUUCAGUCAAAGAUGAAGAAAGGGACCACAGAUGUUAACUUUCAGUCAAAGAUGAAGAAAGGGACCACAGAUUGUAACUUUCAGUCAAAGAUGAAGAAAGGGACCACAUAUGUUAACUUUAAAUCAAAGAUGAAGAAAGGGACCACAGAUGUUAACUUUCAAUCAAUGAUGAAGAAAGGGACCACAGAUGUUAACUUUCAAUCAAAGAUGAAGAAAGGGUCCACAGAUGUUAACUUUCAGUCAAAGAUGAAGAAAGGGACCACAGAUUGUAACUUUCAAUCAAAGAUGAAGAAAGGGACCACAUAUGUUAACUUUCAGUCAAAGAUGAAGAAAGGGACCACAGAUGUUAACUUUAAAUCAAAGAUGAAGAAAGGGACCACAGAUGUUAACUUUCAAUCAAAGAUGAAGAAAGGGUCCACAUAUGUGAACUUUCAAUCAAAGAUGAAGAAAGGGACCACAGAUGUUAACUUUCAAUCAAAGAUGAAGAAAGGGACACAGAUGUUAACUCUCAGUCAAAGAUGAAGAAAGGGAUCACAGAUGUUAACUUUCAGUCAAAGAUGAAGAAAGGGACCACAGAUUG